rnacentral:misc_RNA from 1 species
GAUGAAGAACGUAGCGAAAUGCGAUACCUGGUGUGAAUUGCAGAAUCCCGCGAACCAUCGAGUCUUUGAACGCAAGUUGCGCCCGAGGCCACCCGGCUGAGGGCACGCCUGCCUGGGCGUCACGCCAAUACACGCUCCCACCACCCUCAAUGGGUAGCGGGAUGCGGAUUCUGGCCCUCCGUGCCGUGAGGCGCGGCGGGCCGAAGAUCGGCCUGCCGGCGUACCGUGCCGGACACAGCGCGUGGUGGACUUCUACUCAGCGCAGUGCAUUCGACAUGUAGCCGGCGCAACGGCCCCCAUGGACCCAACGAACGGAGCGCAUGUCGCCCCGACCGCGACCCCAGGUCAGGCGGGACUACCCGCUGAGUUUAAGCAUAUCAAUAAGCGGAGGA